rnacentral:lncRNA from 1 species
AUAAAUCUCCCUUUUAAAGAGAAUGCACAAACCCCCCACUACACCAAACGUCUCAUUUCAUCAUCAUCAUUUAAACCAAAACCCUUUUUUUAUUUAUUUCAUUUUUAGCCCUUUUUUUUUUUAAGAAAACAGAAAGCUUUUUGCUUUCUCUCCUUCCCCUUGUCUCCCCCAUUUCUCUCUUUUUGGCUAGGGCUUCAUAUACCCAUCAUCGACGCCGUUCGACUGUCGCACCACCACCGUAUUCAGUGGCCGGCGAUGCGCCAAAAUGGGCCUUUAGCCUCGUCUUGAAACACCCUAGAGAAACCAGCCCUCAAAACCCGAAAAAAAAGAGUUGAAUAGAGAUGGUUCUCAACCCCUUCGGGGUUCGAUUUUGACAACGGAGGUGGACCCUCCGGCGUUGCAACCGUGGGGAACCGGUGAGUCUCUUCUUCUCCCUUUUUGUUUAUGUUUCUAUUUAAAAUCGUUUUUGAUAAAGAAUUGAAAAAUAAAAAGAAAAUCGAAAGAAAACAAGAAAAGUAAAUCGAAAUCAACCUUUGCCUUUGCUUCUAUUCUGCUUUUUUUUUAUUUUUUAUGUUCCUAACCGUUUACAAAGAAAAGAUAUUGGCUUUUAAAGCCAAUCUAAAAACUGUUGGUUUCAUGGUUUUUGUUAUUUUGCCAUUUAUUUCUCUGUCGAUCGCGUGCUUUCUUGCUGCUAUUUUUUGAUUUGGUUGCAGGUGUUGCGACGCGUGGAAGGGGCAAUGGUCAGGGGCGUGGUGGCCGAGGGGAGGCCAAAAGUCGAGGGGGAGUGGCGGCUGAACUUUGGUGGCUAGGGUUAGGGUGGCUGCUGAAAAAAAUUAAAGAUAAUGGGCUAGGGUUUAGUUUAUUUCGGGCAUGGUAAUUGGGUUUGAGUUUGGGUCUGAUUUAUUAUUUGGACUUUUAAAUUUGUUUAUUUGGGAUUUAUUUUUGUAAUUGGGUCAGACCAAAAUUGGCUAUUACAAAUAUGAACAAUUUAUUAUCUCAUCAAUUGUAUAUAUCUAUACUUACUAUUAUUUAAGCUCCUCUUUGAGUUGGUGUCACCCUCAACCGAGUCACCAACUUGGUUAGGGAAAUUACAAGAAUACCCUUUCAUAAUUAUAAUAAAUUAUAUUAUUUAAGGGUAUCUUAGUCUUUUUAUUUAAAAAACCAAUAAAAAACACGCAUAUGAUGAGAUUUGAACUUAAACCAACUGCAUUAAUAAAACAUUUAAUUUACCGUUGAGUUAAAGCUUUAUUUUAAUAUUUUUUAUACAUUUUAAUUUAAUUAUGCACAUUUUAUUAUUUCCAUCAUAAUGUAUUUGAUUGAGCUGAUGUCACAAGUUA